rnacentral:lncRNA from 1 species
GCCUCAAGGACCCAUCCUGCUUCCUGCCCUUCAGACAAGAGUCACGUUCCAGGGAUGAAUCCGGAGCGUCCCAGCCUGGAUUCUGGGCUUAGGACCAUGGAUGGGGCCAACACGGAUGCAGUGCAUUGAGGUGCUGGGUGAGCACACACAGGGCUGGCGGUGCCCUGGGUGGGAGCAGGCUCAGAACCAGCACCUCCAAUGCCCUCAGCUCUCUGACUAUCAGCUGAGCACACCUCCAUUCCUCCCCGGUCACGCGGUUGUUUCCUUGUAGAUCCGCCUCUCACCCUCGAACAACACUGGAAAGUCCAGAUUGGCAAAAAACAAGUUUGGAGGCAAUGGUUUGUUUAACCGACGGGUACAGUCGGUCUUGUGCUUGUUUUCUGUUUUUUUUUCUCCCCAAACAAGUCUUGAAAUCAAAGGAGAGUGCUUCCAAGCUAAAUACGAGUGGGGAGCAAUUGAGUGCUUAAUGGAGUGGGUAUUGGUCAGGACAUCACAUAAGGGAAACAUAAAUCGUGGUUAAGGAUGCGUGUAGGCAAGGAGGGAGGGAAGGAGAAGAGGAAUGAACUCAGCAUCCCAAAGGAAAGGGAGUCUGGCAGCGUAUAGCUCAUGGGACACGGGUAGAGGGAGGAGUGCAGGACCUGUAGCAAAGGCAUACAAACCUUUACAGCAGCACCGUUUUGCCAGGUUGGCUGGAGGAGCAAACCUGAGGCCUCCAGAUGUGCAAGCAGCAGCUGGGGAUGUGUUAACCCAGAAGGGCUCCUUCCCUGUGUCCCCAGAGCCACCUGCUGCCACUGGGGCUUUCCCAGGAGAUGGCGGUGCUCCUUCAUCCCCUGAAGGCCAAGGGUUGGGUGAUGCUUGACGUUGCACUGCCACUGCUACUUCAGGCUGGAGAUAAGGGAAAAGCUUUCCACCAUGAGCAAUAUCUGUCGUUGGAGGUUUCCAAGACCCACGCAAAGAGGAGAAAGCCCCACUCAACCUGGUCUGAGCCCAGCGCUGCCCAUGCUGUGAGUAGGAUGGUGGAGUUGGGGUCUCCUGUGGUUCCUUCCAACCUGAAUUAUCCCAGCAUCUUCUGCUCAGCGGAUCCCCACAGACCGGGGUCAGAGUGAAGGUGCAAAGCCAUGUCAGCGAUGGAGCAGCCCAGACCUACAGGUAAUGAGGGUCUCCCCUCCACCCUUCAUGAAACCAACUGCUCGGACCGAUCUCUGUUAGGAAGGCAUUGUGUUUUGUGUUAGAGGUCCACGUGGAGAUCCCACUGCCUCCUGCCCGGCUGGUCCUGGUGUUUAACAUUGCUUCUUCCCUGCAGUCUCUGCCCUGUGCAUGACUGUUUGGUGCUUUAUGCAAUUUGAGCUUAGCCAUCCAGUGACCAAAGGGCCCUUUGGCUCACAACACGGGGCCUCAUGUAUGAUCUCCCCUGUAGCAACCAGGGCAGGUCUUUUUGGGAAGGAGAAGCUGAGUCACAAGCAGAAGGUCCCCAGCCUGUUUCAAGUCAAGGGGAAGGCCCUGAGUUUGCAAUGGAGAUGAAUUACACACGAGGUUCCCCAUGGAAAGUAGGUGAUGGUUUUGCUCCCAAUGGGGCUCAUGCAUUAAGCAGGCUGAGCACAGCUUGGGCAGUUGGGACCUGAACCCACCACCACCAUAGAGCUGGGAGCUCACAUGGAAACCGUACAUCAGAACCUACCUCCUCCUGGUUAGAAAGCACCAUGAGGAAGCCCUUUCCCUCAGCCAAGUGCCUGCAGGUGUUUCCUGGUGUUUCCAGGCGUGGGGACUGGCUGGGUUCUCCCUUUCAGUGCGUCAGCUGUGGGGUGGCCUUGGCAAAGCAUUGGGAUGUGCUCGGAGCCUCAGCAAGGACCAAGAGCCUUUAUUUUGGAAUAAAUAAAGACCAUCUGAUAAGAAAAAAACCCAGGAAUAGAAAUUCUGAAGAGUGGGC